AUUAGUGUCCCUCUUAUUUCAAUCGGCUAGUAAGACAGGACAAGAACCCAAGUGGCGUUCGGUUACAAAUUCUAGCAACUCCGCCAGGACGGCAGACUUCGAAGCCGGGGUGGUGAGUAUCCGGACCCCCGAUACCCCUUAAGGCACGCCCCGAUCUCAUUUGAUUGGUAAGGAGUCUUGGGCAGCCACCGGGAUUCCCACUGGAAAGAAGCAUGCCAGGUCCCCACUUCAGCUCAGGAACAGAAACUGGACGGGAGAGAAUUUUCACUUCAGUGGGCUGUCUUUCAGCGAGGAGCCACCUGUAUCCUCAACCAGUGAAGGCCAAUUCCCAUCAAGACAAGCUGCAGUUGGGAGCACUGUGGACGGUCAACCAUGGGGAUGCACUCUCAUCCACAUACCUUUUACCAGCUCAGACCUGUUUAAGUGGAAAAGCAAUUUACCCACCUAUAGGGAGGACCCGCUAAAGAUGCAUGAUAUGUUCUCCUCCAUGUUGAACAUCCACCAGCCCACCUGGGCAGAUUGCCAAGCUUUAAUGGAGGUCCUCCUUACGGCAGAAGAAAAGAGAAUGGUAUUAGAAAAAGCUAGGAAACAGGCAGAGCGAGAACAUAUUGAGAACCUACAGGACCCAGUUAAACAGGAGACAUCUUUAGCCGUCCCGGGGCAAGACCCUAACUGGGAUCCCAAUCAGGAACUAGGACAGAACAGACUGAGAGACACUACCGACACUGUCUACUAACCGGUCUAAAAGAGGGGGCUCAAAAACAAAUAAAACCUCUCUAAAAUAUAUGAAGUAGUAUAAAAACCUAAAGAAAAUCCUUCUGAGUUUCUUAAAAGAGUCUUUCAGGCCUUUCGACAACACACAGACCUGAACCCAGAAGCACAAGAGAAUCAGCAGAUGAUUAACGUGCUCUUCAUUGGACAGAGCGCUCCAGACAUCGACAAAAAGCUCUAAAAGGUAGAAAGGGGGCCGGGUAUGCCAAUAUCUCAGUUGGUAGAAAUUGCUUUUUGAGUUUUUAACAGGGACCAGGACACAGAACAAAAAGAAGAUCGAGAAAUGAGACGACAGGCCACCCUCCUGGCAGCAGCCCUGCCCCAACCAGCACCUACAGGCCAGACCCAAGUUACCUGAUGCCAAGAGAGAGAGCUGAGAGCCCACUCAGAGAAGCCCGGAUAGCUGAGAGGCCACCUCCCUUUCGGCCCAAACCAGUGCGCAUAUUGCAAACAGAAGGGCCACUGGCAACGAGAAUGCUCCUGGAGAAGGACGUAUGAAGGGAAUGUGAAGGGAGAAUGCCAGAUGGUUAGUCAAGACCCAAGUUCACAGUGACGGGCCCAGGGAAUACAACUGACCCCUUAAGGUUAAAAUCUCCUCCGAUGAACCCUGGGUAACCCUGCAAGUGGGGGGCGGGGGGGGAGAAAAAGUUGAGUUCUUACUGGACACCAGGGCUACCCACUCAGCCUUGAACCAAGCCCCGCCCCUCUAUCUAAAAAAAAAACUCGAGUUGUAGGAGUCACAGGGCGACCAAAAAAAUGGAAUUUCUUGAAGCUCUUCACCUGCAAAGCAGAGGCCCACCAAUUGGUGCGUAGCUUCCUGUAUAUCCCAGAAUGCCCUGUCCUCCUGCUCGGGUGAGAUAUCCUAACCAAAUUACAGGGCCAGGUCACGUUUGCCUCACUAGCAAUUGAGGUACGUGUAGCCCCAGAACAAGCAUGGGCCUUACAGGAAUUCCUCACUGACACCCAAAGGUCCCAUAGUGAGAACUUCUCCCUAGAAAAAGACUGAGAAGGGUUGGCAGGCUCUGUGUUUGGGCUGAUGAACUCCUAGGAUGGGCACUCUCUGCCCAACCUGUUAGAAUCCGGCUCAAAGAAGGGGCUCCCAUCCUCUGCCUGCAACAGUAUCCCAUCAGGCAGGAAGCAGAAGACAGGCUCCAGGAGGUGGUAGACAAGUUCCUGAAACACGGAUUGAUCUGACCGUGCCAAUCUCCCUACAACACCCCGAUUCUCCUGGUGAAGAAACCAACUGAAGAGUAUCGGUUUGUACAAGAUCUGAGAGCCGUCGACCAAAUCAUAAGUGAUAUGCACUGUGUGGUCCCCAACCCAUACACCCUGUUAUCUGCACUCCUGGGAGACAGCAAGUGGUUUACUGUUUUAGACUUAAAGAUGCCUUCUACUGCAUCCCCCUUGAAAGAAAUUCUCAAAAAAUCUUCGUUUUUUUGUGUGGGAGAACAAAAGUGGGCCAACAUCCCAGUAUUGUUGGACAGUACUUCCCCAAGAGUUUAAAAAUAGCCUCACUAUUUUUGGGGAAAUCCUAAGGAGAGAUCUCCAAAAGUUUCAAUUAGAGGAGGGGGUCCUUCUUCAAUAUGUUGAUGACCUACUGAUCACCAGCACCAAUAAAGAGGCCUCAGACAAAAAUACAACUAAAAUUAAAUUAAAAUAAAAUUUAAAAAAUCAAAUUAAAAUUAAAAUCACCUGGCAGCCUUGGAAUAUAAAGUCUCAAAAGAAAAGGCCCAGGUCACUCACCAAGAGGUCCAAUACCUAGGCUUUCCCUUUACGGAGGGGCAAAGAACUCUCCACCCAGCCGGUAAAGAGGCCAUUUGCCAAACUCAGAUGUCCUUGACAACGUGGCAGCUCUGAGGGUUUUGGGGGAUGGCAGGGUUCUGCCGAAUUUGGAUCCCUAACUUUGGGUUCAUCGCAAAGCCCCUAUAUGAGGCCACAAAGGGAGCAGAUAGUGAUCCUUUUAUAUGGACACCCCAGUGCCAACAGGCAUUUUAAGAACUAAAAGCCUACCUCAUGAGGGCCCCAGCCCUCGGCCUCCCAAAUCUAAUCAAGCCUUUCGAGCUCUAAGUACAUGAGAGGCAAGGAGUUGCUCUUGGGGCCUCACACAAAUGCUGCAGCCACUUGUGAUCUAAUCCUAGAAGCUGAAAAAUUGACUAUGCAACAGCUCAUGGUAGUAUGCACCCCUCAUGCAAGUUUGACCCUGCUAGAACAAAAGGGCGGAUGCUGGUUAACUACUGGUCAGAUGGGAAGGUACCAGGCUAUUUUACUAGACAACCCCUUGAUCACCCUGAAGGCAUGUACCACCUUGAACCCUGCCACCCAUCACUGGAUGGGGACCAAUGACACGAUUGUGUUGAGACAAUAGAAGAGGUCUUUUCCAGUCGUCCAGACCUGUGAGACCAGCCCCUAGAGGCUCCAGACCUAGAGCAGUUCACCUAUGGCAGCAGCUUUGUAAAAGAGGGUAUGCAGUUGUCACCUUCAGACCUACUCCAGAGGUAAUCAAAGCCAAACCCCUACCCAUUGGGACGUUGGCUCAAAGGCAAAAAUGAUAGCCUUAACCAGGGCCCUCCACCUGGCCACAGGUAAGAGGGUCACAGUUUGGACUGACUCACAUUAUGCCUUCUCUGUGGUACAUGCGGAUGGCGCCAUCUGGCGAGAGAGGGGAAUGUUAACAGCUAACAAUAAAAUUGAACACAGACAACAAAUACAAGAACUCUUGGAGGCUGUACUCCUACCCACUGAAGUAGCAGUUGUGUAUUGCCCUGGACACCAGAAGGGGACAUCUCCAGAGGUCCAGGGUAACGACUUUGCUGACCAAGCUGCCAAACAAGCAGCAUGACAGUUUGUUUCUUCCAGACUUGAAAAACUACGUUUCCAAAUGGUAGCAGUCGAGGGAUUCCAGCCAAUCCCCCAAGGAGAAGCAAUACACAGGUUCCAUGAAGUCCCCUAACUUCACCCCUUUUCAUCAUGAAGUUACAGAAGAUGAGACCUCCAUCCCAAUCCCCUUUUCAAGAUUAAAAGGAACCUAUUAGAGGAGGGAUUGAAAACCCCAAUCAACACCCCCUCCCCUUUCUUUGUCUUGCUAACCACGAGCUCAUUUUGAGCAACAUUUUUCAGGAAGUUGAAGAAGGUCGUGGCUCCAUCAGUUGAACUGGCCCAGGCUACACCUUGAAGCGUGCGCAAAUUGAAGAGAUCACAUCCUUCAACUGACGCCGGACCCAACUGUUACCGGAAAGAAUGAUAUCUCCCAGCCCAUGAUCUCACCCGAUUCCACCUUAGAUGUGAGGGUUCCCGCUGCAUGCACGUCUGACGGAAGAUGACUUAAUAUCCAGACCUCCAAGUGUGGCCAUGGGAGGGCUGAGGGUGGAGAGUUCUGGGUACCAAACCCAACCCCAACCCCCGACACCACUGGGAACAAAAAGCUCCCCAGCCCCCUCAGAUGGUGAGCACGCGGCCUCAGGGUUGCUAGACCCCACGUCGUUCCUUGUAUGUGCAGCCAAUAAACUUGCCACUUUCUGUUUGCCUUGCAACUAGUGUUGUCUUAUUUCAGUCAGCUAAU